GCGGGUGUGGCGGAACAGGCAGACGCAAGGGACUUAAAAUCCCUCGCCCCCAAGGCGUGCCGGUUCGAGUCCGGCCACCCGCA
rnacentral:tRNA from 1 species